UAUGCUUGUCUCAAAGAUUAAGCCAUGCAUGUCUAAGUAUAAGCGACUAUACUGUGAAACUGCGAAUGGCUCAUUAAAUCAGUUAUGGUUUAUUUGAUGGUACCUACUACUUGGAUAACCGUAGUAAUUCUAGAGCUAAUACAUGCAGGAAGACCCGACUUCGGAAGGGUUGUAUUUAUUAGAUAAGAAACCAAUCCAGCUUGCUGGUUGCGUGCCGAGUCACAAUAACUGCUCGAAUCGCAUGACUUUACGUCGGCGAUGGUUCAUUCAAAUUUCUGCCCUAUCAGCUUUCGAUGGCAGGAUCGAGGCCUACCAUGGCGUUUACGGGUAACGGAGAAUUAGGGUUCGAUUCCGGAGAGGGAGCCUGAGAAAUGGCUACCACAUCCAAGGAAGGCAGC
rnacentral:rRNA from 1 species